AUGCAGUCGAGCGAAGAGAUGGGAGCUUGCUCCCUGAUCUUAGCGGCGGACGGGUGAGUAACACGUGGGCAACCUGCCCUGCAGACUGGGAUAACUCCGGGAAACCGGAGCUAAUACCGGGUAAUACAUCGCACCGCAUGGUGCAAUGUUGAAAGUUGGCUUUCUGAGCUAACACUGCAGGAUGGGCCCGCGGCGCAUUAGCUAGUUGGUAAGGUAAUGGCUUACCAAGGCGACGAUGCGUAGCCGACCUGAGAGGGUGAUCGGCCACACUGGGACUGAGACACGGCCCAGACUCCUACGGGAGGCAGCAGUAGGGAAUCUUCCGCAAUGGACGAAAGUCUGACGGAGCAACGCCGCGUGAGUGACGAAGGCCUUCGGGUCGUAAAGCUCUGUUGUUAGGGAAGAACAAGUACCGUUCGAAUAGGGCGGUACCUUGACGGUACCUAACCAGAAAGCCACGGCUAACUACGUGCCAGCAGCCGCGGUAAUACGUAGGUGGCAAGCGUUGUCCGGAAUUAUUGGGCGUAAAGCGCGCGCAGGCGGUCUUUUAAGUCUGAUGUGAAAGCCCACGGCUCAACCGUGGAGGGUCAUUGGAAACUGGAGGACUUGAGUGCAGAAGAGGAGAGUGGAAUUCCACGUGUAGCGGUGAAAUGCGUAGAUAUGUGGAGGAACACCAGUGGCGAAGGCGGCUCUCUGGUCUGUAACUGACGCUGAGGCGCGAAAGCGU
rnacentral:rRNA from 2 species